rnacentral:rRNA from 1 species
GUGGGGAAUAUUCCGCAAUGGACGAAAGUCUGACGGAGCAACGCCGCGUGAGUGAUGAAGGUUUUCGGACUGUAAAGCUCUGUUGUUUAGGACGAAAGUGCCUGUUGCGAACAGUUACAGGUAUUGACGGUACUAAACGAGGAAGCCACGGCUAACUACGUGCCAGCAGCCGCGGUAAUACGUAGGUGGCAAGCGUUGUCCGGAAUUAUUGGGCGUAAAGAGCAUGUAGGCGGAGAUUUAAGUCUGUUGUGAAAAUGCGGGGCUCAACCCCGUAUUGCGAUGGAAACUGAAUUUCUUGAGUGCAGGAGAGGAAAGGGGAAUUCCCAGUGUAGCGGUGAAAUGCGUAGAUAUUGGGAGGAACACCAGUGGCGAAGGCGCCUUUCUGGACUGUGUCUGACGCUGAGAUGCGAAAGCCAGGGUAGCGAACGGGAUUAGAUACCCCUGUAGUCC